AUAUCUCUCUGUACGGGAAGGAUGAGAAAGGAUGAGAAGCUUCGACUAAGGUUCGAUUCGAGCGUCAGCGAGAAAGCGUUGCCGCAGGCAACGACCCGAAGGGCGAAGCGCGCAGCGCUGAGUCAUCCUUCCCCCACCACCA
rnacentral:sRNA from 1 species